UACGUAGGGGGCUAGCGUUGUUCGGAUUCAUUGGGCGUAAAGGGUGUGUAGGUGGCGCCGUAAGUCGGGUGUGAAAUUUCGGAGCUUAACUCCGAAACUGCAUUCGAUACUGCGGUGCUUGAGGACUGGAGAGGAGACUGGAAUUCAUGGUGUAGCAGUGAAAUGCGUAGAGAUCAUGAGGAAGACCAGUGGCGAAGGCGGGUCUCUGGACAGUUCCUGACACUGAGACACGAAGGCCAGGGGAGCAAACGGG
rnacentral:rRNA from 1 species